rnacentral:rRNA from 1 species
CUACGGGGUGCUCCAGUGGGGAAUAUUGCACAAUGGAGGAAACUCUGAUGCAGCAACGCCGCGUGGAGGAUGACACUUUUCGGAGCGUAAACUCCUUUUAUAGAGGAAGAAGAUGACGGUACUAUAUGAAUAAGCGCCGGCUAACUCCGUGCCAGCAGCCGCGGUAAUACGGAGGGCGCAAGCGUUACUCGGAAUCACUGGGCGUAAAGAGCGUGUAGGCGGAUUAAAAAGUUAGAAGUGAAAUCCUAUAGCUUAACUAUAGAACUGCUUCUGAAACUCUUAAUCUAGAAUAUGGGAGAGGUAGAUGGAAUUUCUGGUGUAGGGGUAAAAUCCGUAGAGAUCAGAAGGAAUACCGAUUGCGAAGGCGAUCUACUAGAACAUUAUUGACGCUGAGACGCGAAAGCGUGGGGAGCAAACAGGAUUAGAUACCCCAGUAGUC